AAGCUGCGGCAGGACCGAGGUUAGACUGGCAGGAGACCCUUUCGGAGAAAGAAGGGUAGGAAGCCACGAGAACGAGAAGAUUGUGGUGGAUCUCUCCCUGGGAAUUUGUAGGUGGGGUAGUCUCCACCUACUGCCAGUCUCCCGAGUCCAACUAUGCUCUAGGUGGGAGUAAUCAGUUAAUUGGUUAAUGCUGAUCGUGGACGAGAAACAAUCUGGAUGAAAGUGUUCUAUCCUCGUUCCUUUCCCCCUCUUCUCUUCAGGGAAGGGGGCGGGGGGGAUUGGAUGAGGUGACCUCCAGAGGUCUCUGCAGGCGAGGAAGGAAAUAUCUGUAAUUUAUCAUCCACCCACAUAAGAAAUCAGAACGUAGCAAAUAAGAAUUUGUCUAGCUGCCCCGGGAACGGUCUGAAUUAUCUUACUUUAUUCACACCUUUUCAUUAGUCUAGAUCAGUAGAAUUGCACAUCGAGAGGAUUAUGAACUCAGAGCCUCUGUCUCUCAAAACGGAGAUCAGGCAGUGGGGAGAGAAAGGUUUAACGUGGAAAGAAUGGUCCAGUUCUGUGAGAAUACCAGGAAAAGGAGAGAAGAAAAUUGAGGAAAAGAGGGAAGAGGGAGAUCAUCCUCCACACUUCAGUCUCAAAUACAUUCACCCUAUCCCCUCUUCCAAGAAGAGAAACUAUGGGAAAGCAAUCUCCAAAUCCAAUUGACUAAAUUCUAACUUGCAGUUUCUUUUUUACCUGCUCCCAAAAUAUUUGAGACAAAUAUAACAUAGUAUAGAAGACUUAAUAAUUAAUGCUGUCACAACAAGAAAUGGUGUGAAAGUAGUGCCAGUGGUCAUAUGUCCAACAAAUUCCCCCUACCCUAACCUCCCAUAUACAUAUAAAUGAUAAGACAAAAAAGUCCCUUUAAAAACUGGAGAAAAGUUGCUAGAAAUGACAUGACAAAACCCAACUUACAUACUUCAAAAUAAAACUAACUCUGAGAAGGAGAAGCACAAACUACAUAAGCUCCUUGAAUUGAAAUCCAAUCUAUUCUGGAUUAAUGUGAUGUGAUUAAUACCAUUGUCUCACCUCCUGCAUCCCCAGUUAUGCCUAAAUACAACUUUUAGGGAGGCCAUGAUUCUAUGUGGUCUUUGGAGGUCAAAAGAGCCUUAGACUAGGGGUAAUUAACCUUUGUUAUGUCUUGGAUCCCUUAGGCAGUCUGUUGUGGACUCCUCAGAAUAAUAUUUUUAAAUAAAUAAAUUAAAAUAAAUAUAAGUACCAAAAAAAAAAAAGUUAGUGAAAAUAAAAAUAUAAUUUUUUUUUCCCCAUCCAAGUUCAUGGACUUUCAGAAAUCUAUUCUCAGGCUCCAAAUGAAGAAUCUCUUUUAAAAAAUUUGCUUCAUCUAGCAUUGUAGUUCAAUUUAUUCAUAUUUCAUGUUGUCCCUGAUUCAUUCUCCCAUACACACACACACACCACAGGCCUUUCUGCUCCAGUUUAUAUUUCCUUCUUCUCUUUAGUGGGUGGAAAUGAGUUUUUUCCUCUGCUGCUUUUCCCAUCUGGACUUAAAAAUACUCUCUCUCUCUCUCUCUCUCUCUC
rnacentral:lncRNA from 1 species